ensembl:lncRNA
GGAAAAAGCAAACCCAAAAGAAAGAACACCACUUGUAAAAUGCAACCACUCCCACAUUGGAAAUGUGGCGUUGACCACUAAAUACGCUGUUAACUCAGCACGCUGGUUGGAGGCAGGGUUUCAAGCUGGGCCCAGCAGGAGCAGCCUGGCCUGCUGCCCCCAGGUGUGAGGGCAUGGGUGAGGCGCCUCUGCCCAACGGCCCUCAGAGGCCGCAGCUGGGCCCAGAUCAGUGGGUGGCUCUGCCUCAGACCAGCCCUGAGGCCUUGCUGUGAGUUGCACUGGAUGGGGCUUCUGCUCGAUGCCUCACUCACUGGGGAACAGAUUCCUACAAUGUUUACUGAGCUAUUGGAAGCACGAAUAGACCUUAGUGUUAUGAUAUAAACCUGCUCAAAAUACUGAGAAACAACACAGACCUGGCCACAAUGUAUGAAGAAAUGCAGCUUUGGUAGAUGCUCUCCACAAAAAACAGCUAUUAAUACAAAAUAUGCACUGGAAACAACGUGAAACAGCUGUGAAUAUUAAUGACAACGAUGGCUUCCCAGGGUACUCCUGACCAAAGCCUACAUGUUAACAUCAUUGUGUUGGAUAAAGAAAAAUUUCCUAGGGAGAUGCAAGCCUAGAUUUUCACAUAUUUCUCUCAGAAGCAAUCUGAAGAGAUUAGAAAACAUACACAUGGAUGCUGGAACAUGUUUGCUAGCUCCAUAUUUUAAAAUUUUUAAUUUGAAAAUUGGCUCCAAAGUCAAGCAGGAGUUAUGUCACGAAGGUUGUUUCAGUAACACUCACUUCUACGUGGGAAGCAUAUGGAUUCUGAUUAGCACAUUUGAAGAAGACUGGUGUACAGUAAGUUUCAUUUUGCCUCUGCAUUUUGUAACAAGAAGAGAUUAGCCAGGUCACUAUAUUUUUAAGCCUUAAUUCCACAGUUUCAAAAACCGGAUCGAAAUGUAACUUCAGUAAUUAUACAACUAAAUGCUUAAAAUUUUUCUUUCUGUUUUGUCUUCUAGCGAUUCAUGUGUGAUAUACCCAAGUGGAUAUAAGUAACAGAAGUACUUUCUAAGCUUAUCUGGCUUAAAAUAAAAAAUGAAUAAAAAAUAUAAUUUUUUUGUUA